rnacentral:hammerhead_ribozyme from 1 species
ACACUGCUGAGGAGUCCCAUAAUAGGACGAAACGGCCGUCGAGUAC